GAUAGAUUAAACAGCAAUUCCAUGCUUAAAUUGACAUAUUACAUAAGAGUCUGUAACAACAGAACAUCGCUGAUCUAAACCGUCCGCAACGAAAUAACAAGGUUACUCUGAGUUCACCGCUGCUAGUGGCAAGGAGGCCUGGGGCCCUCGGGGCGCAGCACACUGAGGCGAUAGCACAGCUCAGGAUUUAGAGGGAGUGCCCGUGUUAUUGGCCGGACAUUACUGUAUGACUUCAAGCCCCAUAUCCUUCUUUAAGAUUUCAAUACAGAGACCGUACACACUGCGCAGGGAUAUUCGAUGGCUAUUCUCCUGGCAGCAGAAUAAAGAGGAAAAGGAAGAUGCGGAAGCUACAUAGGAAAAGAUUUUGAAGGCAGAGGCCUCUCUCGUAAGUGCUCAAAAUGACAGAGGGAACGGCUCUUAAGUAUUACAGCGCAGGGCAGCCUUCGAAGAUGUUAAAAGACCAGCGGAGAGGUUUAGUGGAGAUGAAGAUGUGAAGUCUAUUUUUGCUACCAGCACCUGCUUUGAGUUUCCUUGUUCUGUACUCAGUGGUAACGUGAAAAAUAACCAAG
ensembl:lncRNA